AUGGAUCGGUACCUGCUCCUCGCGGUCUGGGGCGAGGGAAAGGCCGCGGCGGCGGGCCCGGGACUUGGGCCCGAGGCUUUGCGAGUCGAGGGCCCCGGAAAGCCGUCGGAUUUAAGAGCAGCAAAUGUAUAUCGUCUCCUGAAAAGAAGCAUUAGUGCUUCAAUUAGUCCAGAAGAUAGUACUUUCCCUGCCUGUUCAGUGGGCGGUAUACCUGGUUCCAGGAAGUGGUUCUUUGCAGUUCAGGCAAUAUGUGGAUUUUAUCAGUUUUGUAGUUCACACUGGGAAGAGAUACAUUUUGGUGCAGAGAAGGAUGACAUUGAAGAUGUUCUUCAAACAAAUAUGGAAGAAUGUUUUAGUGCUGUUGAGUGUUUUGAGGAAGAAGACAGCAAUAGCAGGGAAUCGUUAUCCUUGGCUGACCUUUAUGAAGAAUCUGCAGAAAGUUUGCAUCAGUUAUCAGACAAGCUUCCUGCUCCUGGUAGAGCAAUGAUAGAUAUAAUACUGUUGCCUUCUGACAAAGAUCCUCCAAAACUGAGAGACUGUCUGCCUACUGUAGGAGCAUUAAAACAUUUGAAGGAAUGGUAUUCAGCAAAAAUUACUGUAGCAGGAGAUCAUUGUGAAAUAAGUUAUCAGAAAAUUGCAGAAUACCUUUCUGCUAAUGUUGUAUCUUUUGAAGACCUCAGAAAUGCUAUUGAUUCAAAGGAGCUGUGGAGGGGAAAGAUUCAGAUAUGGGAGAGGAAGUUUGGAAGUGAAAUUAGUUUCCCUGAAUUUUGUUUAAAGGGAGUCACACCAAAGGAUUUUAAAACAUCUAAUUUAGAAACUUGCUUUCUUGACAAAAAGAUAAUACCGUCUAAGGAUAAAGAUAUUUUGCCAAAGGUUUUUCAUUAUUAUGGCCCUGCUUUAGAAUUUGUGCAGAUGAUAAAAUUAUCAGAUCUACCCUCCUGCUAUAUGUCGGACAUUGAAUUUGAGUUGGGAUUGACCAAAAACAGCACCAGGCAGAGCUCCGUGCUGCUGUUGGAGCAGGUUUCGUCCCUCUGUGGCGAGGCUGGUGCUCUUUUUGUAUUGCCAUGUACCAUUAGUAGCAUACUUAUUCCUCCUCCUAGCCAACUCAAUUCAAGAAGAUGGAAGGAAUAUAUGGCUAGAAAGCCUAGGACGAUCAGUGUUCCAGAUGUUGAAGUGAAAGGAGAGAGUUCUAGCUAUUACCUCUUAAUACAAGGUAAUGGCAAUGGAAAGUGUAAAGCCACAUUGAUUUACUCAGCCAACCAGAUCAAUGGCUCGUUUGCACUCAGUUUAAUUCAUGGAAAGAUGAAAGCAAUGACAGAAGAAACCAAAUUGAGUUUUCCUCUUGACCUUUUGUCACUUCCGAGUUUCUCCAGGGAGCAGCUUAUACAGAGAGAAAAACAGUUAGCCUGUGUUCAGGCUUUGGCUUUGAAGGAAUGUCUGAAAAGGGGAAAGUUGGCAAAGCAGCGUGAGGUAAUUUCUGUGGAUGAACUCAAAAGUCUGCUAACACACACAAGGGAACAUUUUUUAGAUCAUUUUGAUGCUGUUAUUCCAAAAACAAGUCUAAUAAAGACAGACAAAACCUCCAAUAUGUUAAAUGAAAGCCGUUCACUGGAGCCUCCUUCCUGCCCAGUGGAGACCAGUCCUCUGGAGUGGCCUGAGAGGCAUGUCCUUCAAAAUUUGGAAACUUUUGAAAAAGCUAAACAAAAAAUGAGAACUGGUUCAUUACCUCGUUCAUCUGAACAAUUGCUGGGCCACAAAGAGGGUCCACGGGAUUCAGUCACAUUAUUGGAUGCUAAAGAAUUGCUUAAAUUCUUUACCUCAGACGGGUUACCAAUUGGAGAUCUUCAGCCUUUACAGAUUCAAAAAGGGGAGAAGACUUUUGUCCUGACACCAGAACUUAGUCCUCAGAAACUUCGCGGUUUACCUUUUGAAAAAGCUUCAGUAUGUCAUUAUCAUGGAAUUGAGUAUUGCUUGGAUGGCCGGAAGGCAUUAGAGAGAGACGGGGGAUUUUCAGAGCUGCAGUCCCGUCUUAUUCGUUAUGAAACCCAGACCACCUGCACCAGGGGGAGUUCUCCAGGACCCACCGUGCUCAGCCCUCUUCCAUCUCCUGCACUUUUGUCAGAGCCCACGAGUGUCCCUGACGGAGAAGCUCUGCAGAGGGAGCUCCGGACUGACGUCUCCCGAGGGAAAAGGAGAUCACAAGACCUGACUUGCCUUUAUCCCCCCAAAAGACUUGUGAGAUCUGGAAGUUCAGAUUCUCUUCUUUCUCAGACAAGUGGCAGUGCUCGCCAUCACCAUGAGGUCCCAUCCAGCAAACCGCGGGCAGAGCGACCGUUACCUGUCACGUGUCCCUCUGCUCUGAGCAGUGAAACUCCCGGAGUCACUGCCAAGGCCCGUUCAGGUCAAAAAGCUAUGCGUGGAUCAGAAACAGCAAGGCCCGCGAAAGAAUCCCGAUCACAGAAGCACACGCGGAUACUGAAAGAAGUAGUUGCUGAAGCCCUGAAGAAGCACAGGAUUACGGAGGCUCACGAAUGUUUUGCUGCUUGCAGCCAGCGUCUCUUUGAGAUCUCCAAGUUCUACCUAAAGGAUCUUAAAACUUCAAGGGGUCUAUUUGAAGAAAUGAAAAAAACAACAAACAACAAUGUUGUACAGUGAUCCUUUAAAAACAUAUUUUCAAAUGAAGGUGAGGAAAUAGAGCAGUGUCUUCAUUUUGUCCAGUGAGAAACACUACGGUUGUAUUCUGCAACGUGAUUGAAUGGGUCUUAGAAAAAGCAAGCAAGAAAUAACACAGAAUCAUUCCCUUUCGAUGAUUAUAAAUUGGAUGAAGCUCUUCUUUAGUUUGAAAAUUACAAAUUUCAAACUUUAUUCAAAGAAUUAAUGUUCCAUUUCUAAGGAAUUUCAUAAAUACCCUGUAUUUUUAUAGUUUUAACGUUGCUCAGUUAAUGUAACUUUAAUUUGUAUACUUAUAGUUUUACUAUAUUUUAAUUUUUAAAGUUAAUAUUUUUAUAUAUAUGUUUAAAAAUUUUACUCUUGGUUAUUUAAUUAUUUCAAUAAAUAGAAAAAGAUAUUUCUUUACUUCUUGGUAAAUGUCUUUGUUGUUAGGUAUAUUUAAACUGCUGAGUCUUAAGAAAGACAUUGCCAGUGGCUUUUCUCAUGUGUUACAACAGCUUGAUUUAUUGGAUGACCCUUGGUUUAGAAAAUAUUGGCAAAAAAAUUCAUAUACUUAGUCAUGUUCCCUUACCCCUUCCCCGGGGGCCACUGCUGUUGGAGCUGUUUAUGUUUAUUUGGGAUGAAAAACAGAGGAAAAAUUGUGAAAAUAAGACGUAGUGAAAAUGACUUAAGUACCUACUCCCAGAAAAAAAAACAUCUUUUCCCAUGACAGUAAAUUUGGAAAAUGUGCAAAAUACUAAGGAGAAUGGAAAAAAUUCCAAAACUGUUCUGUCUACAGGUAUUUAAUAUUUUUCAACAUUAUA